UACGUAGGGGGCGAGCGUUGUCCGGAUUUAUUGGGCGUAAAGAGCUCGUAGGCGGUUCGGCGAGUCGACUGUGAAAUCUCCACGCUCAACGUGGAGGGGUCAGUCGAUACUGCCGUGACUCGAGUCCGGUAGGGGAGUGUGGAAUUCCCGGUGUAGCGGUGAAAUGCGCAGAGAUCGGGAGGAACACCCGUAGCGAAGGCGGCACUCUGGGCCGGUACUGACGCUGAGGAGCGAAAGCGUGGGGAGCAAACAGG
rnacentral:rRNA from 1 species